UAGGGAAUCUUCCGCAAUGGACGAAAGUCUGACGGAGCAACGCCGCGUGAGUGAAGAAGGAUUUCGGUUCGUAAAACUCUGUUGUUAGGGAAGAAAAAAUGUAUAGUAACUAUAUACAAAAGAGACGGUACCUAACCAGAAAGCCACGGCUAACUACGUGCCAGCAGCCGCGGUAAAACGUAGGUGGCAAGCGUUGUCCGGAAUUAUUGGGCGUAAAGCGCGCGCAGGUGGUUUAGAAAGUCUGAUGUGAAAGCCCACGGCUCAACCGUGGAGGGUCAUUGGAAACUAAUAAACUUGAGUGCAGGAGAGAAAAGUGGAAUUCCUAGUGUAGCGGUGAAAUGCGUAGAGAUUAGGAGGAACACCGGUGGCGAAAGCGGCUUUUUGGCCUGCAACUGACACUGAGGCGCGAAAGCGUGGGGAGCAAACAGG
rnacentral:rRNA from 1 species